UUUAGGCCUUCUUUCUGAUUGGUAUUCCUUUUUUUUUCUGGCCUUCUUUCUGAUUGGUAUUCCUUUUUUUAGGUCUUCUUUCUGAUUGGUAUUCCUUUUUUUAGGCCUUCUUUCUGAUUGGUAUUCCUUUUUUUAGGUCUUCUUUCUGAUUGGUAUUCCUUUUUUUAGGUCUUCUUUCUGAUUGGUAUUCCUUUUUUUAGGUCUUCUUUCUGAUUGGUAUUCCUUUUUUUAGGCCUUCUUUCUGAUUGGUAUUCCUUUUUUUAGGUCUUCUUUCUGAUUGGUAUUCCUUUUUUUAGGCCUUCUUUCUGAUUGGUAUUCCUUUUUUUAGGCCUUCUUUCUGAUUGGUAUUCCUUUUUUUAGGCCUUCUUUCUGAUUGGUAUUCCUUUUUUUAGGUCUUCUUUCUGAUUGGUAUUCCUUUUUUUAGGUCUUCUUUCUGAUUGGUAUUCCUUUUUUUAGGUCUUCUUUCUGAUUGGUAUUCCUUUUUUUAGGCCUUCUUUCUGAUUGGUAUUCCUUUUUUAGGUCUUCUUUCUGAUUGGUAUUCCUUUUUUUAGGCCUUCUUUCUGAUUGGUAUUCCUUUUUUAGGUCUUCUUUCUGAUUGGUAUUCCUUUUUUUAGGUCUUCUUUCUGAUUGGUAUUCCUUUUUUUAGGCCUUCUUUCUGAUUGGUAUUCCUUUUUUUAGGCCUUCUUUCUGAUUGGUAUUCCUUUUUUAGGCCUUUUUUCUGAUUGAUGGCAGUGGUCUUGGUUACCGGUGUUGCUAGAUGGCAGUGGUCUUGGUUAGAGGUGUUGCUAGAUGGCAGUGGUCUUGGUUAGAGGUGUUGCUAGAUGGCAGUGGUUAGAGGUGUUGCUAGAUGGCAGUGGUCUUGGUUGCCGGUGUUGCUAGAUGGCAGUAGUCUUGGUUACCGGUGUUGCUUGAUGGCAGUGGUCUUGGUUACCGGUGUUGCUAGAUGGCAGUGGUCUUGGUUACCGGUGUUGCUAGAUGGCAGUAGUCUUGGUUACCGGUGUUGCUAGAUGGCAGUGGUCUUGGUUACCGGUGUUGCUAGAUGGCAGUGGUCUUGGUUACCGGUGUUGCUAUACGGCAGUGCCAGUAGACGACCAGUAGACGGCAGAAAGUGCCUAGUAACAGCAACAGUCUCUCAUCUCUCUGUGUGGAAUAGGAAGCUGCUAUAGUAAACAGGAAGUGACGGCUGCUUAGCUGUUCCCCCCCAAUCCCUCCAAUCGUCCUCCCUCCUCUGCUCUUCCUCUCCCCUCCCUCUGUUCUCCAGACUCAAUAUAGAACUGUGAUGAUGUCCAUGGCCUGGAGUGUCGUGCAUACUGUGUUUUCGGUUUUCUUUGAGGAUUUGAGGAUGUGUGUGUGUGUGUGUGUGUGUGUGUGUGUGUGUGUGUGUGUGUGUGUGUGUGUGUGUGUGUGUGUGUGUGUGUGUGUGUGUGUGUGUGAUGGAGCUGGGUAGACAGGCUGUAUUGAGGCAGAGGGGCUAUGAACAAAAGGUCUAGUGCUGCAGGAAGGACAGAGCAGAGAGAGAGAUGGAGAGAGAAGAUAGAAGGAAAAAGAGAGAGGAGAAAGAGAGAGGGGAAGGGGAGAGAAAGAGAGGAGAGUGAGAGAGCGGAGAGAGAGAAAGAGAGAGAGAGAAGGAAACAGAGAGAGAGAGAGAGAGAGAGAGAGGGAGGAGGAGAAGAGAGAGAGGAGAGAGAGAGAGAGGG